ensembl:lncRNA
AAUUCCCACCUCCAUGUCUGGCUCUCUACCUACCUGCAUAUAUAUAUAUAUAUAUACACACACACACACACACACACACACACACACACACACACACAUAUGUUUUUUUGCUAGAGCUGCCUACAUCAUUCUGUAUUAGUUCAUACAAGCCCCUCCUCCAUGUUUUCCUGAUUCAUUGGUCUAAGGCACUUUUUAUACUAAUUUAUUAUAUGCAGUAGUAUUUCAUUAUAUUUAGUUUGUUUAGCCAGCCCCAAUUGAUGGACAUCUACUUUGCUUCCAGUUCUAUCCACUACAUCACCUAAGCUCCCCAGGAUAUAUGGUUUCUUUCUAUCUUUGAACUCCUUGGAGUUAUAUAUUUAAAAGUUAGGAAUAUGGAUCAAAGGAUACAAAUAAUGAAGCUAUUUUUCCUCUAUUCCCUCAUUCUAUCAGGACCUGAUAAUUGGAAAAGAUAAUUUAUUUAGUCUUUCAUUCUAUUAUUUAUUAAAUGUUCACUGUGGUCCUAGGCAUGAAGCAGAUACAAGAGUUUGGGGAAAACAGAAAACAUAUUACAAAAACAAAAACUGGACAUAGAAGCAUAAUCUAAUGAACAAUCAGUGACUUGGACACUUACAUAUUCUCUUUCUCCAAAAAACAUAAAUGUUGAUCAUUUUUUACUUGUUUUAAUGAUAAUUCAAAUCAUUAACAUAUGAAGGUAUGAAUUAGAAGAAUAAUUGCUCUUCUCAACAUGGUACUCAUCAACAAGAAGCUAUGAGUUGCUGAAGUUGAAAUGAAGACAAUCUGGAGAUUGGAGAGAGUGUGAAGUCACCACUUGAUGCUAGAACUGGUGAUAGAGAAGGUGAGGAAAACUGAUUAUAAUCAGAUGUGUAUUUCAGAUUUGGAGAGAGCAGAUUCUAGAAACUAUUAUUAUUCUAUUAUUCUAAAGCAUUUAGUAUGGGCCUACAAUCAAAGAGACUUCACAGAAAUUCAACCAAAGAGGGCUGGCACUGAAUGUCUGGAACAAUGGGAAGGUCACCAGGAUACUGUUGUGAAAUGAAAAUAAACUACUGACGAAAUUGCA